rnacentral:rRNA from 1 species
GACGAGGGAUCCUAGCGUUGUUCGGAAUCAUUGGGCGUAAAGCGGGUGUAGGUGGCUUUAUAAGUCGGGUGUGAAAGCCCUGGGCUCAACCCAGGAAGUGCAUUCGAUACUGUUUAGCUUGAGUGUGGGAGAGGUUACUAGAAUUGUUGGUGUAGUGGUGAAAUACGUAGAUAUCAACAGGAAUACCGGAGGCGAAGGCGGGUAACUGGCCUAACACUGACACUCAGACCCUAAAGCGUGGGGAUCAAACAGG